GGAGCAGGGAAGGCGGGAGACAGCGCAGUUUGAAUCGCGGUGCGACGAAGGAGCUGGCGGUAAGGCUGGAAAGGACUCCGGAAAGGCCAAGACAAAGGCGGUUUCCCGCUCGCAGAGAGCCGGCUUGCAGUUCCCAGUGGGCCGUAUUCAUCGACACCUGAAAUCUAGGACGACCAGUCAUGGACGUGUGGGCGCGACUGCCGCUGUGUACAGCGCAGCCAUCCUGGAGUACCUCACCGCAGAGGUACUUGAACUGGCAGGAAAUGCAUCAAAAGACUUAAAGGUAAAGCGUAUUACCCCUCGUCACUUGCAACUUGCUAUUCGUGGAGAUGAAGAAUUGGAUUCUCUCAUCAAGGCUACAAUUGCUGGUGGUGGUGUCAUUCCACACAUCCACAAAUCUCUGAUUGGAAAGAAAGGACAACAGAAGACUGUCUAAAGGAUGCCUGGAUUCCUUAUUAUCUCAGGACUCUAAAUACUCUAACAGCUGUCCAGUGUUGGUGAUUCCAGUGGACUGUAUCUCUGUGAAAAACACGAUUUUGCCUUUUUGUAAUUCUAUUUGAGCAAGUUGGAAGUUUAAUUAGCUUUCCAACCAACCAAAUUUCUGCAUUCGAGUCUUAACCAUAUUUAAGUGUUACUGUGGCUUCAAAGAAGCUAUUGAUUCUGAAGUAGUGGGUUUUGAUUGAGUUGACUGUUUUUAAAAAACUGUUUGGAUUUUAAUUGUGAUGC
rnacentral:sRNA from 1 species